UACGGGGGGAGCAAGCGUUGUUCGGAUUUACUGGGCGUAAAGGGCGCGUAGGCGGUCAGCACAAGUCAGUUGUGAAAUCUCCGGGCUUAACUCGGAAAGGUCAACUGAUACUGUGCGACUAGAGUGCGGAAGGGGCAACUGGAAUUCUUGGUGUAGCGGUGAAAUGCGCAGAUAUCAGGAAGAACACCCGUGGCUAAGGCGGCUCUCUAGUACGGUACUGACGCUGAGGCGCGAAAGCUAGGGGAGCAAACGGG
rnacentral:rRNA from 1 species